rnacentral:piRNA from 1 species
UGCAGAAAGAGGACUCUUUGUCACAGUUG